rnacentral:rRNA from 1 species
GAUGAACGCUGGCGGCGUGCCUAAUACAUGCCAGUCGAGCGAACAGACGAGGAGCUUGCUCCUCUGACGUUAGCGGCGGACGGGUGAGUAACACGUGGAUAACCUACCUAUAAGACUGGGAUAACUUCGGGAAACCGGAGCUAAUACCGUAUAACAUGUUGAACCGCAUGGUUCAACAGUGAAAGACGGUCUUGCUGUCACUUAUAGAUGGAUCCGCGCCGCAUUAGCUAGUUGGUAAGGUAACGGCUUACCAAGGCAACGAUGCGUAGCCGACCUGAGAGGGUGAUCGGCCACACUGGAACUGAGACACGGUCCAGACUCCUACGGGAGGCAGCAGUAGGGAAUCUUCCGCAAUGGGCGAAAGCCUGACGGAGCAACGCCGCGGGAGUGAAGAAGGUCUUCGGAUCGUAAAACUCUGUUAUUAGGGAAGAACAAAUGUGUAAGUAACUAUGCACGUCUUGACGGUACCUAAUCAGAAAGCCACGGCUAACUACGUG